rnacentral:rRNA from 1 species
AUUGAACGCUGGCGGCAGGCCUAACACAUGCAAGUCGAGCGAGCGGCGGACGGGUGAGUAAUGUAUGGGGACUGCCCGAUAGAGGGGGAUAACUACUGGAAACGGUGGCUAAUCCCGCCUACUGUCGUAUAACCCAUAUGGGAUUAGCUAGUAGGUAAGGUAAUGGCUUAACUAGGCGACGAUCCCUUGCUGGUCUGAGAGGAUGAUCAGCCACAGUGGGACUGAGACACGGCCCAGACUCCUACGGAGGCAGCAGUGGGGAAUAUUGCACAAUGGGCGCAAGCCUGAUGCAGCCAUGCCGCGUGUAUGAAGAAGGCCCUAGGGUUGUAAAGUACUUUCAGUCGGGAGGCGUUACCGACAGAAGAAGCACCGGCUAACUCCGUGCCAGCAGCCGCGGUAAUUC